AUACGUAGGUGGCAAGCGUUGUCCGGAAUUACUGGGUGUAAAGGGCGUGUAGGCGGGGAUGCAAGUCAGAUGUGAAAUUCCGGGGCUCAACCCCGGCACUGCAUCUGAAACUGUGUCUCUUGAGUGCUGGAGAGGAAAGCGGAAUUCCUAGUGUAGCGGUGAAAUGCGUAGAUAUUAGGAGGAACACCAGUGGCGAAGGCGGCUUUCUGGACAGUAACUGACGCUGAGGCGCGAAAGCGUGGGUAGCGAACAGGAUUAGAUACCCUGGUAGUCUACGCCGUAAACGAUGGAUACUAGGUGUAGGAGGUAUCGACCCCUUCUGUGCCGGAGUUAACACAAUAAGUAUCCCACCUGGGGAGUACGGCCGCAAGGUUGAAACUCAAAGGAAUUGACGGGG
rnacentral:rRNA from 1 species